AGGAGAACGGGGAAACUUUGAUUGGGAGAUGACAACAGUAAUCAUGUGGUGCACCUGAAGGUUCAGUUUGAGGAUAAUAUUCAGGUCUUUGAUGGGAGGAGUUUGAGUAUGAAUUAAGGGCCAAUACUGCACAGGGAGCAGGCCUCACCUAGAGGCUCCCAGUGUGAAGCUAAGAGGGAUAUGUGGGGAACCUUCCCGGGGGUGUCAAUAGGUUUACUCUUGCUAACCUGUUCAACAAACAAUGGGAGAUCCUGGAAGCGAGGUUCAUCUAUGACAGGGAUACUUCGAGAUCAAGGGGGUUCGGUUUUGUCACAUGUGCCUCUGAUGAAGGGGUUGAGGAUCUGUCACCGAAUCUUGAUGGCGCUUUUUUUCGUGAGCUGUGAAGCUUCUCCUGGUUAGAGUUCUACACAUGGUUUUUGUUUGGUGAUGAAGUGGUACUGUCUUCAAGAAACAAAUGAAGGAUUGCAUCCUAUGACAUUACAGAAUGUCACCUGUUGUGUCGGUGAGCGCACUUUGACCACUAAACUCCAGUGUCCAAUUCCUUUCAGAUGUCUCCUUAAAACUGGAAACGUUUGCCCAAUCACUGAUAUGAUCCAUUUGGUCCCCCACUUUUGGAUUUUCUACAACAAAAGGAAGGAAUAAUAUGAAGUUCUUUAUCUGAAAGUUUAUCAUUUUGAUAUUUUGCAAAUAGUCUUACGAUGAAGAAGCAUUGCAAACAUGGCCAUUUCGGUACUAAUCUAGGUCCAGUAUGUGUGGAAUGUGUUGGUUUCAUGUUGAAAUGGAGAUAUGCUUGCAGCUGAAGUAAGAAAUUGGCCUCCAACUUAAACUUAUUCAUAUUGUGUUGUGAACCUUUUGGAAGAAGAAGAAAUAAGACAGAAAGGAGAGCAGCAGAUUGCCACAACAACUGAGCUCAAGAGGUCUCACACUAAUUUUUUGUUUUACAAUGAUCUCCCCCUUUGCCUUUUGUUAUGCAUCACUGUAAAUUCUAAACCACCUGUUAUAGUUAUUUUAGUUCAGUGCCAGCCAAAUUUCUGGUUGGCUGAUUUAGAAUUGAUUUACGUAUUUUUCUAUUUGUUAGUUUCCAAUUUGAUACUCUAGACCUAUACUGUUUUGAGCAACAUUCUGUGGAUGGUUUUGGCAAAUGUGAUUAUGAUUUGAAUGAGGAAAUGUUAUAAUGUCUUAAUUUGA